rnacentral:rRNA from 1 species
CCCUUAGAUGUCCUGGGCUGCACGCGCGCUACACUGAUGUGUCCAGUAAGCACCUAACCUCUUCCGAAAGGAACGGGUAACCUUUGCAAAGCACAUCGUGAUGGGGAUAGAUUAUUGCAAUUAUUAGUCUUGAACGAGGAAUUCCUAGUAAGCACAAGUCAUCAGCUUGUGUUGAUUACGUCCCUGCCCUUUGUACACACCGCCCGUCGCUCCUACCGAUUGAAUGUUCCGGUGAGCUCUUCGGACUGCGCGGUCUGCAGUUUCUGCGUUCCGUGCGGAAAGUUACGCAAACCUUAACAUUUAGAGGAAGGAGAAGUCGUAACA